rnacentral:rRNA from 1 species
CCUACGGGCGGCAGCAGAGGGGAAUAUUGGACAAUGGGGGCAACCCUGAUCCAGCCAUGCCGCGUGUGUGAAGAAGGCCCUCGGGUUGUAAAGCACUUUCAGUGAUGAAGAACGCCUGGUGGUUAAUACCCAUCAGGAAAGACAUCACUCACAGAAGAAGCACCGGCUAACUCCGUGCCAGCAGCCGCGGUAAUACGGAGGGUGCGAGCGUUAAUCGGAAUUACUGGGCGUAAAGCGCGCGUAGGUGGCUUGAUAAGCCGGUUGUGAAAGCCCCGGGCUCAACCUGGGAACGGCAUCCGGAACUGUCAAGCUAGAGUGCAGGAGAGGAAGGUAGAAUUCCCGGUGUAGCGGUGAAAUGCGUAGAGAUCGGGAGGAAUACCAGUGGCGAAGGCGGCCUUCUGGACUGACACUGACACUGAGGUGCGAAAGCGUGGGUAGCAAACAGGAUUAGAUACCCGAGUAGUC